CAAAAAUCCAUAUCAGGAUAAAUUGUCUGAAUUGAUGUGAUAAGGACAAACAGAAGGAGAAGUUUAAAACGUUAAUGUGAAGCAGUUUAUUGUUCUCCUACUGGUACAUACUAUUUCAUUUCAAACUUCACAUCUCUCUACUACAGGCUACUUAUCAUAAUGAACGAUAUCAGCAAAACGGCUGUGAAACAUGGGUCGGUAUGGUCAGCGUCGAUAAUUUAACUGGGGAUGGAACCCCCAACCUACCAGUAUUUACCCACAAUGCCCCUGAGUUAGCUAUAGACCAUCUAUCUCCACCACUAAGAGACAGUAUUUACCCAGUAUUUACCCACAAUGCCCCUGAGUUAGCUCUAGACCAUCUAUCUCCACCACUAAGAGACAGUAUUUACCCAGUAUUUACCCACAAUGCCCCUGAGUUAGCUCUAGACCAUCUAUCUCCACCACUAAGAGACAGUAUUUACCCAGUAUUUACCCACAAUGCCCCUGAUUAGCUAUAGACCAUCUAUCACCACCACUAAGAGACAGUAUUUACCCAGUAUUUACCCACAAUGCCCUGAGUUAGCUCUAGACCAUCUACUCCACCACUAAGAGACAGUAUUUACCCACAAUGCCCCUGAGUUAGCUAUAGUCCAUCUAUCUCCACCACUAAGAGACAGUAUUUACCCAGUAUUUACCCACAAUGCCCCUGAGUUAGCUCUAGACCAUCUAUCUCCACCACUAAGAGACAGUAUUUAACCAGUAUUUACCCACAAUGCCCCUGAGUUAGCUCUAGACCAUCUACUCCACCACUAAGAGACAGUAUUUACCCACAAUGCCCCUGAGUUAGCUAUAGUCCAUCUAUCUCCACCACUAAGAGACAGUAUUUACCCAGUAUUUACCCACAAUGCCCCUGAGUUAGCUCUAGACCACCUAUCUCCACCACUAAGAGACAGUAUUUACCCACAAUGCCCUGAGUUAGCUCUAGACCAUCUAUCUCCACCACUAAGAGACAGUAUUUACCCACAAUGCCCUGAGUUAGCUCUAGACCAUCUAUCUCCACCACUAAGAGACAGUAUUUACCCACAAUGCCCUGAGUUAGCUCUAGACCAUCUAUCACCACCACUAAGAGACAGUAUUUAACCAGUAUUUACCCACAAUGCCCCUGAGUUAGCUCUAGUCCAUCUAUCUCCACCACUAAGAGACAGUAUUUACCCAGUAUUUACCCACAAUGCCCUGAGUUAGCUCUAGACCAUCUAUCUCCACCACUAAGAGACAGUAUUUACCCAGUAUUUACCCACAAUGCCCCUGAUUAGCUAUAGACCAUCUACUCCACCACUAAGAGACAGUAUUUACCCACAAUGCCCCUGAGUUAGCUCUAGACCAUCUAUCUCCACCACUAAGAGACAGUAUUUACCCAGUAUUUACCCACAAUGCCCCUGAGUUAGCUCUAGACCAUCUAUCUCCACCACUAAGAGACAGUAUUUACCCAGUAUUUACCCACAAUGCCCCUGAGUUAGCUAUAGACCAUCUAUCUCCACCACUAAGAGACAGUAUUUACCCAGUAUUUACCCACAAUGCCCCUGAGUUAGCUCUAGACCAUCUAUCUCCACCACUAAGAGACAGUAUUUACCCAGUAUUUACCCACAAUGCCCCUGAGUUAGCUCUAG
rnacentral:lncRNA from 1 species